CUUGUGUAAUUCUAGAGCUAAUACAUGCAAACAGAGCCCCGACCAGAAAUGGAAGGGACGCUUUUAUUAGAUCAAAACCAAUCGACGUCCGUUCGCCUUCGGCGUGCGGUGUCGUACUACUUGAUGACUCUGAAUAACUUUUGGCUGAUCGCACGGUCUCCGAACCGGCGACGCAUCCUUCAAAUGUCUGACUUAUCAACUGUCGAUGGUAGGUUCUGCGCCUACCAUGGUUGUAACGGGUAACGGGGAAUCAGGGUUCGAUUCCGGAGAGGGAGCCUGAGAAACGGCUACCACAUCCAAGGAAGGCAGCAGGCGCGCAAAUUACCCACUCCCGGCACGGGGAGGUAGUGACGAAAAAUAACGAUACGGGACUCAUCCGAGGCCCCGUAAUCGGAAUGAGUAUACUCUAAAUCCUUAUACGAGUAUCAAUUGGAGGGCAAGUCUGGUGCCAGCAGCUGCGGUAAUUCCAGCUCCAAUAGCGUAUAUUAAAGUUGUUGCGGUUAAAAAGCUCGUAUGG
rnacentral:rRNA from 1 species